GCUAGGAUUACAAGCAUGAGCCACCACACCCUGCCUCACAGGUCGCUGUGCUUCUGUGAACCUGUUUCCCCAUCUGCAAGUGGGGCUGACCUCCCCGCUCGGGCAACUCCUUCUGCAGCCUGGGCUUUGUGAAGGAAUCGGCGAUUAUUAAGGGGAUGGCACCGCAGUCAUCCCCCCAUUGGUGGAACCAAUUUCGAAGGCCGCCUGAUCCCGUGGGCCAAACCUCCACUCCUCACGGUUCCAUGUCAACCUGAAAUCCUGGGAGAAACUUCGGUCAUCCAGCCCGAGAGUCGCCGUGAAGGUUCCCGAAAUACACUUCCCAGAAGUCUAGGCGGGUAACUUCCGCUCCAGGGUGUGCCGCCAUGGCAACCGGGGGGCGGAGCUCUCAAAGCCUGUUGUCGUGGCAACGAGUGGUGAUUGAUGAGCCUUGCGCGACAGCGCAGGACCAGCCUGCAGGGAUUGCCAGGAUCCCUGGCCUGCGCUCCCGGUCUCCGCAGCCACCACCCCAUUCCCCACCCGAGCAUUGCCGGUCGAGAGGCCUGCCCGGGCCUCACCUCCGCGCUCAGCUUGCCGCUCCGCGCUCUUGGGCAUGCGCACUCGCCGACUUCUGCCUCCCAGGAUGGACUACGUCUCCCAGGACGCUCUGCGUACCAACCAGCUCUAGCACCUCCUUACCCUUCCCCCACCCUAGCUUUCGUUUCUACCCCGCCUCCUCCCGUCCCUUGGGGGUAGCGGUGGUCGCAAUGAUUAGGUCCCAGUGCCUGCUGCCUCUUUCCAUGCUCCCCGCCUCGAAUCCAGGCGUCCGGCCCCAGUCGACGUGCGCAAGCUCCUCGAAAGCAACGGACGGCAGUACCGCCUUCCAGACCGCGCAUGCCCCCCACCACGUUUUCCUCAAUUCUCUACGGGUCUUCCCUGGAUUAGCAGGGUUCUGCACCAAUCACAGCCCUCACUAGGAUGCCGUCAGUUUCGCCCCCCGUCUCCGUAGCAACCUCUUGCUGGGGCGGGGGGGCCUCCCUCUGCUACCUUCCGGACCGCAAAAUGGAGAGAGGCUCGAAUCAGUGCUUUCCGGGAGAUGUAGUCGACCCGGGGAACCUCCGUUCACUCAUGCGCAGGGCGAUUACGUUCCUGCGAUCGUGGGCUGUGGGCGGCCCUGACCGUAGCUUGGUGACCUGACCCGGUUGUCGCCAGGGCAACCCCGGGACCCGGCGGGUGUUCGAAAUGCACAGCAGGAGGAGGAGUAAGAGAGUGGGGGGGAGGGGUAAUGGGGCAGAAAGAUGCUCCCCGACAGAGACAGUGAGGGGACAGAGACAGUGAGACGCAGAAACAGAGACAGGACAGAGGGAGUGAGAAAGGGAGGGAAAGAGAGGGAGGAAGAGAGAAGGAAGGAGGGUCCCACAGACUGGGAGCGCAGAGUCUUGACGUGAGAAGAGACAGUAAAAGUAAGUAAACAGACAAGGUCCAAGUCAAAGAGUAUUUCAACUGUCAUUAAAGAGGGUCAGAAUCAGGGCCAGGGAGGUGUGUCAGAACAGUUAGGAACAGGGAGAGAGAUCAGGAAGGGAUGAAAAUGAAAGGAGAGACAAAGACAAAGAGGGAAAUGUAGAAUGGAUCCACAGAGACAGGAAGUACACACAAGACUAGAGGGACAGACAGGAGUACAGAGGCAAGCCGGGAGAAAGGGACAGAAAUUAGAGAUACAGUAAGAUGAAUUGACAGUUUUCAAAGACUUGGAGAAAGAUGAUAGAAAGCAAGAGAGACUGGAAGAGUUGGAGGCAGACUUAUUAGAAAAAGUUAUUCAAAACUUGACAAUAAGACAAAAAGAUAACCAUAAGCCCUCUCUAAGUUCUGCUUCUGGUCAUCUGACUCCCUGUGUGAAGCAACUCUUUUUUACUUUACUUUUAAUCAAGGUCCAGAUGCUGUUCAAUUAGAUGCUACCUUGUAAAGAUUGAUAGGUUGCAAAUGUUUCUGUCCAGUGUAUCGCCCUGUAGGCCACUAAACAGUUUUGUAUCCUACUUUGCACUUUUAUUUCAGUGUUUAUUCUUUCUUCCCAUUUUCCUGCCACCUUGCUGGUUCCCUCACUGAGGUAAAUAAACCUUUGACACAUGCUGAGAAA